rnacentral:lncRNA from 1 species
AGUCCUGAUCCCUUGUCCCAGGGCAGAAGAGUUUCAGAGGAAGCCCAACUCCACGGGGCGGUUUUUCAGGACCUGGAGAGGAGAAGGAGAUGAACAGUGUCAUUUAUUGUUUCCUCAGUUAUCUCAAGAGGUCCACGUCUAUCUCUCUCAUGAAGCGUAAGCACUCCUCUGACUCAGAACACUCAGUUAACUGAGGUGCUUUUUAAACAGAGAUAUGGAUUUAGAUCAUGGAGCAUAUCCUGUCACCCGUGACCAGUAGCCAAUAUUGCAGAACAGCUGACAGAAAUGUGGUAGGGAUGCCGCGUGACUACCUG